UACAUGGGGUGCAAACGUUGCUCGGAAUCAUUGGGCGUAAAGCGCGCGUAGGCGGUUACUUAAGUUGGAUGUGAAAGCCCUCGGCUUAACUGAGGAAGUGCAUCCAAAACUGAGUAGCUAGAGUACGAAAGAGGGUCGCGGAAUUCCCGGUGUAGAGGUGAAAUUCGUAGAUAUUGGGAAGAACACCGGUGGCGAAGGCGGCUAUCUGGACCACAACUGACGCUGAGGCGCGAAAGCGUGGGGAGCAAACAGG
rnacentral:rRNA from 1 species